rnacentral:lncRNA from 1 species
GGUGUCUCCGCUUCCCAAAUUCCUCUCCUUCACUCUUUGCGGAAAUUCCUAAAUCAUUCUUCAGUCUCCAAAUCAACAUUGCUGGAAUGGCAGCCAUUUCAAAUGUCACGGGAUGAGGUCACGGCGGGAGCUCAGUAAGGUCUCAGUUUCAGUCACUUCCUGGAUUGAUGUCUCCGAUCUUUUGGCCCUUUAAGAUAUAAAGGACAUGGAUAAGCCUUUGGAAAGAAACACAACCUUGCUAGUCCCUUGAAGUGGAACACCAUUUGUGUGAGAUUACGCAGGAUACAAUUAUGUUCACUGCCUAAUUCAAUCUUAAACUGAUGGAACAUUGGUUGAAUUUAAUUCACAUUGCUGGGAUGCGAAUCAUUCAAAAGGAAGUGGGUAUGUGUAGAUUCUGAAUUCAUGAAGCUUUUCUGAACAAAAAAAUCGAAGGUAUAAUGAUUAUAUUCUUCAUGCUAAUUGUGACCUUACAAUAACUUGUUUUUACUUUGAGGCACUAUGCCAAAAAGGCCUUCAGACGACAUAACUGUUCUGUCGUCUGAAUGAACAAAAAUGUGUCGUCUAGUACGGUGUCGUCUCUUGGGGGCAUCAGACGACAGAAGUGUUCUGUCGUCUGAUUUUUCAGACGACAUAAAAAAAUAAAAGUCUUGUGUCGUCUGAUGAGUUUUGUAUUUUGGGAACAUUGUGAUCUGUAUCUUUAAAAGCAUUCAAACAACAGUUUUGUAUUGUCUGAUAA